GGGAAUAUUGUUUAAUGGUUAAAACAGUUGUCUUUUAAGCAUCUCAUGUCGGUUCAAUUCCGGCUAUUCCUA
rfam:Ashbya gossypii (= Eremothecium gossypii) ATCC 10895 mitochondrion, complete genome.